CGAUGGAUGCGUCCCACAGCAUUCAAGUUCCAGCUAAGCCUCAAUCCAUAACCAAACAGCAAAAAGCAUGCAGCUGAAGGUGAUCCUGGUGGGGUUGGCCAUUCUUGGUCUCAUUGUGACAGAGGGAGGCGCCAUGCCGGCCAGCAGCUCCAGCGAAGCCGAGGCCAGGGUUGAUCCCGAGACUGCUGAACGAGCCGAGCAGAGCAACGUCGAGGAGGCACGCAUCAGCGAAGCAUGCAUGGCUUCCCUGUGCGGGUAGUAACUAGAUGCAAGAGUGUGGGACGUUCGAAAGAUUGUCUUCUUCAAGAGCAGCGGGAAUGAUACCUCAGGAAAUACCGGCACUGUGCAGCGCUCCAAACCGUCUUACGGUGGCUAAUAUUGGGGCUUGGGAUUUGCUGCGUCGCGUGCUCUUGCAUUUGUACAAGUUACAAUAAAUAUGAGA